CCUAAAAAUAAAAUGAAAAUAUGUGUAUUAUGUUUUUUAAAUGGAAUUUUUAGUGUACAUAAUUUCUCACUCUACCCUGAGAUUUUUGACAAAAUGUCUAAUUUCAGGGGGAUACACGUACUAGCCCCGGCUAGUCCCCAGUCUGAAGUGGGCCUGGGGGAAUCCAGGUGUGUCAAUUCGGAAGUAACUUCAGCACUUUCCUAUGUUAGCUAUGGGAAACAGCAGGACUCUGCAGGUGCCGGACCCCCAGAAGCACCCUGCCCGAGGAGGGCCGCCCAUGUGGUGGGGACGCGUACCUUAAAGAGCGGAGACACGCGUGCCCUCCUCAGGGACUCCUCCAGACUGAAGGAGAAAAGCACCUCGGCCUCGGCGUCUCGGAGAACGUAGCUCUGCUCAUCUGGAAAAGAGAACAGCACACCGUCCACCAGUGCACACAGUCCACCGGUGCACGGCGCCCGGGGUGCACCGUGCCAUCUGCUCCAGGCUGCCCCUGGUCAGGGAUCGCGCCUGGGCCCCCUGCAUUGGGAGCACGGAGUCUUAACCACUGGACCACCAGGGAAGUCCCUGAAGUGCUACAUUUGAAAUGCACCCCCAAAAGGCCUCCGUGUGGCACCUCCAAGGGAAGCAGCCAAUCAGCGCUCCACUUCACCAGCAGCCCCGCCCCCGCCCUCACUGGCCUUGCUGGUCCUGAAGAGCGGAAGGCCCCCCACCCCAGGCUCCAGUCCUGUGUCUUCCACCUGCCCUGUCUCAACCCAGACGGCACAGAACAAAGCUGUUUGACUCAAGCACACGUUUUAAAUUAAACCUCAGUCUUUUUCAUUUCCUUCAAUUUUCUCAAAUCCUAUUUUUAGCUUAUAUUUUAGACAGUCUAUUCAAUUAAGAAAAACUUAUUUGUGGCAUUUUAAUGACAUAUAUAAUCACAUAAUUAGCCUUUCACUAAAAAAAUCCAAUCAUUCCCAGACUGUAUGGAUGUGGGGAAUGGCAGGAGGGAGCGCUGAGGGGCAGGGAAGAGAGGAGGCCCCUCGCUGAGCACGGCCUGGAGGGCCUCUGGGUUCUAAUGGAGCCGCCGGCCUCUCUUUACCAGGUGAGACCAGCGCAGGUCUGCACACAGCCACCCCCCGCCGACCCGCUGGGUCAGGGGUCGGGACGCAGGCUCCCGGGCCCACACCGAGGACGCCUGGAGCAGGUUCCAGUCCCCCACCCCCGUUCCACCACAGCAGCUCACCGGGGGUUCUGGCGCGGUUCUGGUUAAUGGAGAAGAUUCAACUGUUUUUUUAAUGAGAGGAAAAAACACUGGCUAUUCCCUGUUUAUCUCCAGCAAUGAAAUGAGACGUGCCACGAUAAAGCUGUGAUGCAGUCAGCAAAUCCUUCCAAAUCCUGUUCACUGUGAACACUUCAGGGAACUUUCCCAACUGCCACCAUUUUCUAAAACAAACCUGUAAAAGCUCAUCAACCAUUAAAAAAAAGAAAAAAAGGCGCUUCUUCCUACCUGGCUCUUUUGGAAGAGGGCUGGAUAGCAGGGGCUUCAUUCUGCUUCAGUUUGGGAGGCAGUCGUACACCCUGUGAUUAAAAUAUGAUUCACUUUAAUCAGUCUCCCCAGUAACACAGUAGCUUCCGAGAGCUUUCCACCUACCCCACUGUGUACGAGACACACGCACCCACCACCACGCCUCACCAGCCGAGACAGACACACGCGAGCCUUCCAGGGAAGCCCUGGGCUGGUGGCCUCAUUAUUCACCAGACCCAGCAGUUCUUUAAAACGUCUUCACCCCUCUCUCUGUUCACGUUACGGAUUUAAUCCUUAACCUUGAACUUUUCAGAACACUUUUCACUUCAAAUAUUUUGUCUUGUGUCCCAGUUUGGAAUUUGGAAAACAUACUCAUUGCAACUACAUGCCCAAAAAGAGACUCUUCCUGAACUGAGAUGUCACCCACGAGGGUUCAGGACGAUCAGGUCACAGUGCUCUGGAGGGCGGGGCAAGGUGCUGAAGGCCGCUCUGGUCCCCAGGUGCGGGGCGCCCACGUUCCUGGAACCAGCUGGAGCCCCUGACCUGCGGACACGCUGAGUCGAAGGGCAGGGUGAGGCCGGUGCCCCUGGAGGAACCCCCGAGUCAGCCUUCACCCUUGCCUCACCUCUGUGCAGACCUUUGUCCACAAAUACACUUUCUCUCUGUUUUACUACUUGAAGCAAUGACCUCUUAAUCUGAGAUGAGAGUGCAGAUGCCCCCCCCACUUGUUUCAUAACAACCAACUGCUGGCCUUCAGGUCCAGAACGGUCCCUCCUGAAGGUACCCUAUCAGAGCUCAGCCAGCGGGCUGGAACCCCACCUGGGACAUGCGGGAACAGUCCCAUCACGGUGAGGUCCAGGCUCCUGCAGAGUGAGCUGUGGGUCCAGGGCUACUGCACUAACGCCUCAGCUCUUGCCUCCCUGACCCUAUGGAAACACGUCGUCUUACUUACUCAGCUCUCCGAUUCUUUAAGAAGCGAUAAUGUUCCUAAUGUGUAUAAAUAUGAAUAACUGACAAAUAUGAAUAACUGACAAUAUCAUCAAUUAAGAAAAAAAGAUGCAGGGUAUACUAAACAGCUACGACAGGCGAGAAGAUACAGCCCUCAUUUGUUAUGGUGACAAACUACUAAAAGAAUUCUUAAUUCACAAAUACAAAUGUAUCCCUCCUGCAUGUGUAUAAUACACAGUAACAGCCAAAGUAAGGUAAUUAGCUUGACAUACCAUCAGCAACUCUGCGGACACUUUCAAUGGAACUCGCCAAGCAUCUGAAGAGAGAAACGGGUUACUUUUCACAUAUACUGUGUAAACAGAUAAGCCGUGUUACAAAAGCCUUUUCAUGACACAUACACACACUACUAUACAUGAAACAGAUAACAAGGACCUACUGUAGAGCACAGGGAACUCUACUCAAUACUCUGUAAUGACCUACAUGGGGAAAGAAUCUUAAAAAAAAAAAAAAGAAUAGAUACACAUGUAUGUAAAACUGAUUCACUUUGCUGUACACCCGAAACUUACACAACACUGUAAAUCAACUAUCCUCCAAUUAAAAAAAAAAAAAAAAAGGAAGUGUAUCAUCAACAACAAAAACAAAAAGCCCUUUCAGGAGCGGGUAAUCCUGGACACACGGUGGCUUGGCGGACAACCUUUAAUAAGGGGAAAAUGUGAGGACUGUUACUAAGCGGCUGCAGUGAUGGGCACAGCAGAGGCUGCCCGCCCCGCGUGUGCUGUCCCCCCCGGCCAGUUCUGGGAGCCACACAGUCCGGCUUCUAAGAAACCGACUGCGACGAGGGGGCUGACACCAAGGACCACAGCGCGCCGGGCGGCGACCGUGCAGAGCACCGAGGGUGCGUGUCCACUGAGGACGAGGUGACGUCACACCAGCAGGUGCGUCACAGGGGAGCAAGCAGACCACAGCUCAAAAUGAAGACGGGCUUUCUCGUGACUGAAGCCAUUCAAACUGGAACUUAACAGGCUCCUUUGAGAGACAGCACGUUAAAGCAGUGUUCGAAUUGAACGCCCGUUUUCUGGAGUAACGUUCAGUUCACUAAAUGCAGUAACGUUAAGUGCUGUAGCGUGUACAGUCGGGGUAGUGAUCCUUCCACCAGUUUUGCGCAGCUGAAGGGGAGGUGGGCACACGGGGAGCCUUGGACAGACCAGAGCCGGCUUGAGACAAGAUCAGCAGGCUUCUGCACGUUCCUGCUACCUCUGAGAGUCCGUUUAGAAAACGCAAACCAAAACACACAGCAACAAAAACUCCUGGGCAGAGUGCAGAGGAAGAUGUGGCGAGGAAACGGGAAAUGAAAUCAGAACGAUGAGAGGGCCGAAGCCGAGACAGGUGGUGCUUAGUACGCAGGCUGGCGGCAACGCGGAACCGGCCCCGCUUACCCAGAAGGUUUGAGACCAAGUGCGGAGCCGGGGCGAAGGGGUCCUGCAGGCUGAAGGUGGUGUAGCGGCCGUACUGAAUCUGCCGCAGGGCCUCCAAGUUCCCCAGGAGGAUGUCUCCCAGCCACUGGGCGUUCACGCACGGGAUCCUCCACUCCUUGGCUUUCUCGUACUUUAAACCAGUUGGUCUUUUUUUUGAAGAGAAAACACAUUUAUUAAAUGUUAGAGUUCUGUGUUCAAGUUUAUAUUUACAUUCAACAAAGCCAGUCCACAUUUUCUCACACUAGAAGUGGCAGGGAUGUUUCUGUAGAGCCGACCCUGGCUGGUAAGGAAGCGCACACAUGGGUCACGAGAUCAUCGCUAGGCCUACCUUUACCUUACUGCUGUUACCUGGGCUAAACUGCAUCUCAUUAAUUCAUCUAAUUUAAUUCUUCUGCUAGCAUUAUCAUAAAUAUCGUUGCUAUCCUGUUAACAGACUUUGGUUUUCACACCCUAAUUUCCGUCACGAAACUAUGACAUAUUAAGAAAUACAGCAGUGCUGACACAGCCACUACAGUGUGUAUAAACUGAAGAUUAAGGAUGGCUUCAGAACCGUGCUUACUCUUUACAGAUGAGAACUGUGUUGCUGCGGCAGAGAUAGCCCGUGUACUUGGCACCUGCCAAGUAAGCCAUUAACUUCAGGUCAUCCCUGUCGCUGUCAACAAAUCCAGUCACAGAAAUAAUCUAAGGAAAAAGAGCAAGAAGGCCAAAAUAUAACGACAGUUUAACCCAGUUAAUAGAACUGUCUUCUACAUUUUACUUGUUUUAUAGACACGUGUGUCUCCCUUCCCUCUCUGGCAUCACGAGAGGCAUCUAGUGACAUCAUCUCUAAGAAUGUCAAAACCAGAACUUUGUUAAUGGUGAAAGUGUUACACACACAGCCAGCAAGGGGAUGGAAAAGAAACCUACCAAGCGUGGGAAAACCAUUUUUGUGUUACUACGACACCGUUCAGAUCAUCUUAAUGAAGCUAUUGUAUUAAGCAUGUAAAGAUUAGUCAGUUCUUCUUACUGAUCCCAGUUUUGAGCUCAGCUGAGUGGGAGAACCCACAAGUGAUAACGUCUGGCCAACAGCAGCCACUUCUGGUUUGAGUCGCUUGCUUUGUUUCAGGAAUUUAUGAAACGGUGUCAGAGACUUAGGAGAGUCAAUGAAACAGUGACUCCGUGCAGAAGCCGCGACUGUUACAGGAGAACAGAAGGACGUAAGAUGCCUAUCGCGCUCGGCACCGGCCAGCGGGCCGUUCGCAGCCCACGGAGGACACGGGAGCAGACGACCCCCCCAGCAGAGGAGGAGGGGUGAGCCUUACGUGCUGGGAGCACGGCCUCCCCCCGGGCGGGAAGGCCACGGGGAAGUGCAGGGCCCGAUGGGGCGGCACGAGCCGCUUCUUCUUCAGCACCGCGUUCAGCCAGUGCGCCGUGACACACCUCUUCCUCUCCUUCACCGCCUGCAAAGGCAAGAGCACGGGCUGGUCUCGGGGGCUUUCACUGCAGGCUAAACACAGACUAUAAGGCUGGACAGCUAACAAGGCCACCUUUAACGGGAGUCCUAUAAAUAAAGGAAUCUCACAAGCUCAGCACUCAGUUUACUGAAGCCAUGAACUGCAACGGUGCCGCAGGUUAACUUUAACACACCCCGAAAACACUACCGGCCACCCAAGAACAAGAGCCAACCGGGGGGGAAGAGCUACACGUCUGACAACCUGGAAAUAACUUCAGUCAUGGAAGGAGACGACAUUUCUGAUCAUCAAAAUUAAAACCGCCCCAUGAGAACACAAAGGGCCCCGCACACAAGUCACGAAAGAACCCAACUGCUCACCUAAAAGUAAGCACCGAGCACCUCCCCACAGGCACCACUACCUACUCUAACAGGGGUUCCUUAGAGGCCGUGUGUCACACACACUGACACGCGUCUGUCUACAAAUAACAUUUUUAAGAAAAGAGAAGAAAUGAACUUUCAGGGGAGAGCAGGUAAUACUGAGGAGGAAGCGUCUGCUCUGCAGGACAGAAGCUUGGAGGACUGACCAGGUCAGGCCUGCAUACGAAUCCCCCAACAGUUAAGAAAUCCUGCUUCCGGCCGCUCUUCAUUCAGUGUGGCCCUGGACUGGAGCGGAAGGCCGUCUACCCUCCCCUAGCACCACCUGGGAUGUCCCCUUCUCCAUUCCUCACAGACAGAAAGGCCUGGUGGCCACAGAGGUAUCUAUCUAACCCACCAAAGAUCGAGGAGAAUUAGUAAGAAGCAAUUUUCUAUUUUUAGAGGUAGAAAAAAGUCCUUUCCAAACACGAUCAUCACUAGAGUCACUUAGAACGCUAACACUGUCCAGAGAAAGGGACAGACUCGGUUCCAUCGCAGCUGAGCCCCCACUCACCUGUGCGAACAGCCCGCUCACUUGACUCUCACAGAGCAGGUGUGUGCAGCGGCUCGAGAACGUGGGGUCCACAGCACCUCCGUGCGCCUGGAUUAUCUAGACACGCACAAGACCCAGAGUCACAGUCAACCUCCAGCGCUCAGGGGAAGAGGGAAUUGUAAUUUCAAAUAAGACGGCUACUAAAAGAAUCCAUUAUACAUUUUCAUCGUCUAGUUCCCCAAAAGUAGAAAAGAUGUUAUCAGCUAUAUCUACGGACUUUUCCACCCUGCACUGUACAAUAAAAAUGAACGUUAACACCAUUCCAUCUGAACUUCCAAAGGAAAAGUGGAAUGCUCUUUCUAAAACAGGGUUUCUCAACUGGGCACUACGGACGUUUUACACCAGCUGACUGAGCUGCGGGGGUGGAUCCUGAGCAUCUCAGGGGGCCGGCAGCACCCCUGGCCUCUCCCCCUGAGACGCCAAUAUCACUCCCCUAGCUGCGACAGUGAAAAAUGUCUCAGACAUUGCCAAUCGUCCCCCGGGGCUAGAAUCACUGCUUUUAAGAAACGUUAUUCUAAAAGGGGGAAAAAAACAAAACCAAAAAAAGGUCAAAUGAAGUCUGUGAACACCAGAAAAUUAUUUUUAAAAACAGAUUCAGUUUUUUGGGGUGAGGGGACUGUCCCGUACCUCGACGGCAGUGGUUACAUAGUUGUGUGGCACUAAGGGGAACUGGUCAAAACUUAAAACGCUGUAUACCGAAAGAGCGAGAACUUUAUAUGUUAAAAAGACCUGCCCCACGAAACAAUUCCAUUUCAUUUACAACUUUUUAAAAUUUUUUAUUAAAAAAAUGUUUUUUAAACUGGAGUCUAGUUGAUUUACAAUGUGGUGUUAGUUUUAGGUACACAGCACAGUGAUUCAGUUACACGUACACAUAUACAAGUCCUUUUCUUAAAAUAUUCUUUUCCGUUACGGUUCAUCACAGGAUGUUGAACGCAGCUCCCUGUGCGCUACAGCAGGACCCUGCUGCCUGUCCAUUCUCUGCGCUCUCGCUUACACCUGCUGACCUCACACUCCCUCCCACUCUAUCCGCCCCGCAACCCGCUGCUUCUGGGCGACCACAAGUCUGUUCUCUGUGUUCAUGAGUCUGCUUCUGUUUUGUAGAUAGAUUCGUUUGUGUAGCAUUUUAGAUUCCACAUCUAAGUGAUAUCAUAUGGUAUCUGUCUUUCUCUGUCUGGCUUACUUCACUUGGUAUGAUCAUCUCUAGGUCCAUCCAUGUUGCUGCAAAUGGCAUUAUUUCAUUCCUUCUUAUGGAUGAGUGAUGUUCCGUUGCAGAUAUGUGCCACGCCUUCCUUAUCCAUUCAUCUGUCGACGGACAUUUAGGUUGCUUCCACGUCUUGGCUAUUGUGAAUAGUGCUGUGAACACAGGGGUGCGUCUUUUUGAAUUAUAGCUUUGUCUAGGUUUAUGCCCAGCAGUGGGACUGCUGGGUCACACAGUAGUUCUAGUUUUAGCUUUUUGAGGAACCUCCAUGCUGUUCUCCAUAGCGGCUGCACCAACUUACAUUCCCACCAGCAGUGUAGGAGGGUUCCCUUUACUCCACACCCUCUCCAGCAUUUGUUAUUUGUUAUUUUUAAUGAUGGCCAUUCUGACCUGUGUGAGGUGGUACCCCAUGGUAGUUCUGAUUUGCAUUUCUCUAAUAAUUCGUGAUACUGAGCAUCCUUUCGUGGGCCUACUGGCCAUCUCUACGUCUAUUUUAGAGAAAUGUGUUUCGGGUCCUCUUCGAUUGGGUUGUUUUUUUGUGGCUGAGUUGUGUGAGGCUGUUUGUGUAUUUUGGAAAUUAAGCCCUUGGCACUUGCAUCAUUUGCAAAGGUUUUCUCCCAGUCAGUAGGUUGCCUUUUCAUUUUGUUUAUGGUCUCCUUUGCUGUGCAAAAGCUUGUAAGUUUGAUCAGGUCCCAUUUGUUUGUUUUUGCUUUUAUUUCUACGGCCUUGGGAGACCGACCUAAGAAAACAUUGGUAUGACUUAAGUCAGAGAAUGCUUUCCCUGUGUUCUCUUCUAGGAGUUUUACGGUGUCAUGUCUUACACGUUUAAGUCUUUAAGCCAUUUUGAGUUUAUUUUUGUGUAGGUGUGAGGGUGUGUUCUAACUUCACUGAUUUACAUGCAGCUGUCCAGCUUUCCCAACACCACUUGCUGAAGAGCCUGUCUCUUCUCCAUUGUAUAUUCUUGCCUCCUUUGUUGAAGAUUAACUGACUGUAGGUGUGUGGGUUUAUUUCUGGGCACUCUAUUGUGCCCAUUGAUCCACUGAUCCAUAUGUCUGUUUUUGUGCCAGUACCAUGCACUGUUUUGAUUACUGUAGCUUUGUAGUAUUGUCCAAAGUCUGGGAGGGUCAUGGCUCCUGCUUUGUUCUUUUUCUUCAGGAUUGCUUUGGCAAUUCUGGGUCUUUUAUGGUUCCAUAUAAAUUUUAGGAUUACUUGUUCUACUUGUGGAAAAUGUCAUGGGUAAUUUGAUAGGUGUGGCAUUAAACCUGUAGAUUGCUUUGGGUAGUAUGGCCAUUUUAACAAUAUUAGUUCUUCCCAUCCAAGAGCAUGGGCUAGCUUUCCAUUUCUUUCAGUCAUCUUCAAUUUCCUUUAUUAAUGUUUUAUAGUUCUCAGCCUGGACGUCUUUCACCUCCUUGGCCAGCUUUAUUGCUGAGUAUUUUAUUUUGGGGAGUAUGAUUUUAAAAGGAAUUGUUUUUUUCACACUCCCAUUUUGAUACUUCAUUAUUAGUAUAAAGAAAUGCAACCGAUUUCUGUAUGUUGUAUCCUCCUCCUACCUUGCUGAAUUCAUUUUUGUGUGUAGUCUUAAGGGUUUCCUGUAUGUAUCCAUGUUAUAUGAAUACAAUGACAAUUUUACCUCUUCCCGAUCAAUUCGGAUACCUUUUUAUUUCUUGUCUGAUUGCUGUGGUUAGGACUUCCAAAACUAUGUUGAAUAGAAGAGGUGAAGUGGGCAUCUUUGUCUUGUUCCAGAUUUUAGCAGGAGGGCUUUCAGCUUUUCACUGUUGAGUAUUGUAUUGGCUGUGCGUUUGUCAUAAAUAGCUUUUAUUAUAUUUUGGUUCCUCUAUACCCACUUUGGUAAGAGUUAUCAUGAAUGGGUGUUGAAUUUCGUCAAAUGCUUUUUCUGCAUCUAUUGAGAUGAUCAUGUGGUUUUUGUCUUUUCUUUUGUUGAUGUGCUGUAUCACACUGAUUGAUCUGUGUCUGCUGAACCAUCCUCAUGAACGUGAGCUGAUUCCCACUUGGUCGUGGUGUUAUCAUCUAUGUUUUGUAGGAUUAGGUUUGCUAAUACUUUGUUGAGCAUUCCUGCAUCCAUCUAUGUUCAUCAAAGAUACUGGCCUGUAAUUUUCUUUGUUGGUAGCGUCUUUGUCUGGCUUUGGUAUCAGGGUGAUGGUGGCUUCACAGAAGGUCUUUGGGAGUGUUCCCUCCUCUUCAGUCUUUUGGAAGAGUCUGAGAAGGAUUGGUGUUAAGUUCUUCUUUGUAUGUUUGGAAGCUCCCUUUCUGUCCCCGCUGAUCUCCCUGACAGGGAGGGGCCUCCCAGGGUGCAGGAACCUUUCCUCUUUCACAGCUCCGUCCCAAGGGCACAGGUCCCAUCCUGAUUCCUUUCUCUCUCUUUUUUUCUUUUUUCUUUUGUCCUACCUGGUUACGUGGAGAUUUUCUUGCCCCUUCAGAAGUCCGAGGUCUUCUGCCAGCGUUCAGUAGAUAUUGUGUGAGAGCCGUUUCCACAUGUGCACGUAUUUCUGACGCACCUGUGGAAGUGGGUGGAGCUCCACGUUGCUCUCCUCUGCCAUCCUGACCCACUCCUCUCCAUUUACUACUUUUAAAAUUUGAUUUUUACGUUGAUUAAAGUGACGCAUAAACAUAGUUUAAUAAGGCCCAGGACAAAACCAGCAGUUUGCUAGUACCCCACUCACUUUCCACUCCCCUAAGGCUGCCACAUCCAGCUCUUUAACUCCUUCUGGUAAUUAUUAAUAUAUUCUAACUAAUACAUUCUAUGCAAUUUCUUUUUUAGCUUUAGAUGUUAUCUACAACCUCCUACUGUGGAGGCCACCUUCCCCCCAGAAACUAAAACACACACACACACACACACACACACACACACACACGCACGUGCGCCUUCCUAAUCUGGUUCUAUCACAGUCCCUAUUUCAAUCAGCCUUUGGGAUUUAAUACAGUACAGCUCACCACCUACCUGGUCUAGCAGGGCACACCGGGACGAAGUUCCUUUCUGCUACCAACUUUUGCUUUCCCUGGUGUUAACAAAUGCCUCAUUCCCCUCCUUCUCGUCUGUCUUUUUCUUAGCUUUCCAUGUACCUUUCACUAUUUCUUUCCCAGACUCUUCAAAGAAAUGCAACGUGCUGGCUCAAAAGCAUGUCACCUGACUCUCCUCCCUCCAGGGGCCAGGGCUGGACUCGGCCUGGAGCAUGGGCCAGACCAACAGAGCGCGCCGGGCGAUGGCAUGCGGCCUCAGCAAAGCCACGGGGGAGUCGGCGCCAUGCUGAGCGGACGCGCUCCCUGGAGAGGCCCGGGGCGGGGGGGUGGGGCCCCCCAAGAGCCAUGGGGGCGGCAUUCUAAGCGGUCCCUGCAGCCCAGCAGAGCCCUCAGAUGCAGCCUCCUGGGGGCCAGGGCUCUAGCCACCCACCGAGCCGCUUCAGGACUUCCAGCCCACACAGGAACCACGGGGUAGUAAGUGUCUGUUGUUUCAAGUCACUGAGUCUCGGGGGAGUCAUCACACAGCAACAGAAGACGAACGCAGUGUCACCUCCGCUUAACACGGUCCAGCCCCUCCAGCGACCUGUCUCCUCCACCCCGUGCCGUCCCUCCCGGACGCCGCCCCCCGCUCCGGUGCUGGCUGGUCCCUCUCCAACAGCUCUCACGCCUGUCUGGACUGCCCUGCACCCUCACCCUCGGAAUCCCUUUCCAUCUCUGGGUCAAGCCCCACCCUUGGCCACACCCUCCUCUUGGGUGGCAUGGCACACGGCAGGCACAGUUUCUGACUGGGGGAGUCUGAAAAUAUCUUCAUCCCACAGUCCCAUUUGACUGCCGGACUGGAUACGGCAUCCCGGGCUGGGAAUCAUGGGCUGCCUCUGAGAGCCAGACGCCCACCCAGGUCCCGCUGGUACGCAUCCUCAAGCCCUGAGCCCAGGCAUCCCUCACACGUUGCACCUUCACGGCAGCCCGAACAGCGCCCUCUUCUCUCCUUUCAAUCUGCAGAAACGCCCUUCAGUUAUAAGCGACCUUCUUUCAACUUUCUUGCCUUCAUUUCCUCUGUUCCCAAACUUCCAGGAUUUAAUUUUGGACCUCUCGGACUAACCUUUUAACUGACAAACAAAAACAAAACCCCCAAAACCGAAAGCAAACCUCUUCGUAUCUCUGAAUUUUGUUCUACUUUUUUCUUCAGGAUACUUUCUAAAUAUCAUUACCCCCUACACUUCCAUAAUUAAAAACAAAACGUCUGCCGCUGUAACUCUCAGACAGGCGUCUCCUCCCCUGCCCCUGGCGGCUGCCCUCCUUCGGGUGCUCAGCGCUUCCCAACCAAGCCCCAGCCCAGCCACCUCCCCGGCCUUCCGUGCCCAACAUCUCACGGCCACACGCGCACCUGCCCACGCUCCACACGCUCUCAAGACGAUGGGGAGCAAACUCCGGUUCCUACAACGCGCCAGGUAAGUCGGGUCUUAGUCUCCGGCCCUCCGUGACUCCCGGACCCCAACCCUAACCCCGCCCCCAGGGGCGUGCUCUCCCGCUGCCGCGCCCCUUCCGCAGCCCCGCGGCCCUGCCGACGCCACUCUCUCCACCGGGACCCCUCCCUCCCCUGAACGCUUACUCGGCCUCGCAGACAGGGUCCUCUGCUUGAUAAGCACCCGCCCGGCUAGCACCUUUCUCCAGGCUCUCCAGCACCCAACGUGCUGCUCACCGUCACCUGAGCGUGCGGCUGCUCCUCCACCCGUCUCACGGUUUCCUCGCUCCUGUUCAGUCACCAGCGUUCCCUAGGUCUGACACUGCCUGGCACAUGGCGGGGGCUUAGACACCAACAGUGCUUGCAGGGAAGCCACUGCAGAUGCAUCUGAAGCACACAAACUCAUGUUUUUAAAGAAAACUGGGCUCAAUUCGAUUUGUGGCACUGCGAGAGAAAGUGUUUGCUUCUCCUUUCCUUUAAAGGCCACUGUGCACACUAAUAAAUCAAUCAACGGACUCAGUUCCACGCCUGGGCUAGAGGACUCUGCGGUCCCUUCCAACCACUCGCCUUUGGAGAACAGAGAUGACACAGCUACGUAUAAGUCCAGGGUCCCGACCCGAGAGCACCAAAACCCGAUCUUCUUCCCACACCCCCGGUUAUAUACAAGUCAUCCGUGCCACUCAGAAUUUCAGGACUGAAAAUAAGAAUGAGAAAGUCCAACCUUUUCCACUUACAGUUUGGAAAACUGAAGCCCAAACAGCGGAUCUGCCCAAGGUCCCGGGGGUGUUAAUAAAAAUGCCCAUAACACCUUCAGGUAUUAUACGUGUGUGUGUAGGUAUACGUAUCUGUAUCUGCAUCUCAGUAACCUUACCCUUUUCCACGUGGCCAGCAGCUGCUUGUCAGACAUCUGCUCUGGAUAAUCCGCAACUGCAAACACACAUCCCAGUAAGAAGCCUUCUUCUGGAACUAGAAUAGAAUCAUACGCAUUAAAGUCCCAAACGCAUGAAUGUGUGCACAAAACAUAAACAAGCUCAUCUUGCAGAGUUCAGUAUGAAUGCGUGAAGCGAGUCACGCUCGACCAUCACGUAUCCACCAGUACGGUGAGGACCUCUGGCACACUGCUGCAAACAUAGUUGCUCACCUGUCUACGUUAAGUGACUGAGAACACGAAACCAACGGUUCCUGCCUGGGCACUGAGCAUCCCGAGUUGGUCCCUGCGGCAGCCUGAUGUUCUAUGGACGCCACUGUUCACUUCAGGGCAUGGCGUCCCAAAGUACCAAAGAAAUCUAACUGUUCCAUCCUCCUAACUAUAUCCUUUGUUAGGUAAUGAGACCCCCGUUCCCCGUUUUCUAAGAGUUGUUUUGGCAUGAAUCCUUACCCUACCUGCAAACACUCUCCAAGUAAGUACAGGACUUUUGGGAGAAAAAGAAGGAAGAAGCCACAUUACUAACUCUCUACUGCUGGGUCGUGUCCGAACAGCUGGCGCUGCGGCUGGCACGGCGGGGCCUGGGGCGCCUGCGUUUGCAUCUGCUGCUGCUGGUGCAGGCGCUGGAGCUGCUGCAAGUGUGCGAGCUGGUGCUGCAGCGCCUGCUGCUGCGGGGGUAACUGAGGCUGGUGGGCCUGCGGCGGUGGCCGAAACGGAUGCGGCGGCGGCGGGUAAGGCUGCUGCUGGAGCUGCAGGGCCUGCUGGGGCGGCAGGUGCAGGACGGACGGCGGGGCCGGUGGUGACAGAUGUGACUCCGGGGUCACUUUCGCCUGGCUGAGCAGCGCUGCAUUCGCAUGGCUCUGCUGGCUGUGGUUCACCUGUGGCUCUAAGGUCUUUGUCGGAGCUGCGAGGGACUGUAAGAUCUGGAAACAGAAAUCAGGCGAGGUGGUCAUCAGCAGCUGCUGACAUGUGCUCCCCAGCCCUCAUCAGGAGGGCGACGGCACACCCUACACGCCGUCAGCCAGACGUUCGCUGGCCGGACGGUGCAAACACAGCUGCCGUUGUCUCCUGUGCACUAAGCAUCACCAGCCUCCGUGAAGCAAGUAAGUUCAUAUCGUGAGACGUUUUCCCCAAAAUGUGAAACUAACCUCAGUGAAGUGGAACAAGCUAAUGAGUGAAAGCUGACCGACACAAGCUCAAGUGGCCGACGUGCUCUAGAGCAGAGGGACGGGGGUUCGGCCACAAUGACCUCGCCGGCCCCAGGGCGCGGCCUUGUCCCUCCGGGGCCCCCUCCUGCCCGGCCACGAAGGCACCGGCAGCCGGACAGCCUGACCCAAGCCUCCUUCCCACAGCUGCCGCUUCCCAUAGGAGCAAGGGGUGCGGCAGAGGAGGACGCAAAGACCUGUGAAGGCACGGGACACAGGCGACCCUGGAGAGCAGCCGCCGGCCCCUCCCGUCUGCGGUCGUCCUGCUCUGUCACACGAACGAGGGACGGAAGAGACACCAGCACUAGUUUUGCUUGCGUGGUCGACCUUCCCCCAGCAGAGAGGCCCUCAGCACAGCUGGUACACUCGCCUUCCUCAGAGGUGACGGGAGCUCCACACGUGGGACAGAACACCUCAAGCUAGAGAACCUGCCGCCAGCCAGCUGGGGUUGAGCUCACCCUCCCUCCCAGGGACAGGAGUCGGCCUGAGGGCCGAACAAGCUGCAAGGCGGGAAGGGGCCGGACCGGGACCAGGAGACACCAGCUCGCUGAGCGUCAGAUCGCCAUGUCAUUUUACUACCCUGCGCAGCGCUGGAUGUAACAAAAGAAACGUGUCAUACAAUGAAUUUUCCCAACAUGCUCAAGUAAGAAAAAUUGGAAGCCAACUUCUCAUAGUCAAGGAAGCCAGUAACAAACAGAUUUUACCAAAAGUCAAUCAAUACAAUUUAUCCCUAUUAAAAACAUCCUUGUCAUUUAAAUAAAACUCCAGAAAUGCAACUUUCACAUAAACCAAACCUAUACAAAAAUCUCAAAUAUGUUUUUGACAUAUCUUUAUCACUUAAAACAGACUCCAAAACAUAAAGGUUAUAUAAUUUGCAAGAGUAACAGACUUUGGAUUUAGUGGUGAAAUAAAUUAAAAUUGAAAUAAGUUAAACUCAAGGGUUUGAGUAUAUCUGUCUUUGAAGUCAGCCUAUAGGUAAGACAUCUCUAUAAGGAGACUCUUUGGGUACUUUGAAAACUCCUCAAGUUGAGCUCUGAGCAGGAAGAAAAGUUUUCAACACGUUUGUAAUCAACAGGAUAACUAAUUCUUCUCUACCAAGUGUUAAAAAAUACCCAGUGAAGUGGAGGGAGAAAUGAACCCCACCACAUACCCUGCACAAGUAUACAGAACAGCAUUUGGGACGCUAACAUUUCCAUAAAAAAGCAGGCAGGGGCUUCCCUGGUGGAAGUCCGCCUGCCGAUGCGGGGGACGCGGGUUCGUGCCCCGGUCCGGGAGGAUCCCACAUGCCGCGGAGCAGCUGGGCCCGUGAGCCAUGGCCGCUGAGCCUGCGCGUCCGGAGCCUGUGCUCCGCAAUGGGAGAGGCCACGACUGAGAGGCCCGCGUACCGCAAAAAAAAAAAAAAGAGGCAGGAGUGGGGAGGGGACCCUGCCUGGAUAUCUGCAGAUGGGCCACGAGCCCACACAAAGGACACUGGUCUGGCAGAGGGGUCAUGGGGUCAGGGGUGGGAGGGAGUUACCAUCACUUUACAGCCUGUGGUACCCUUAAAAUUUAAACUUUUGUACAUAUGUUACUCUUUCACCCCCAGAAGUAAAAGCCUAGGGUAGAUUUGAUACAGCCUGCCUGUCUGCCAUCACGAACAGGGCUGACCUGACUGCCGCUCCCCAGGCCAGGGGAGCUCCUGGUGGCGUCAGGUGGGCCGGCAGGAACGCCCGGGGCCAGGACUCAGCUGGAGGCCCCUUCCGUGGGUGACCAUGUUCUGAAGGGGCUGGGGGAGGCCAAGACGCAACAGGAGGGCAACUCAGAGCAGACAGAGACACUGGCAAGAGCCCAGCCACCUCUCAGAGUCUGAGAGGUGGACAAUGGCCUGGAAAGCCGUGCAUGCACCUGGCCAGCCUGGCUGGGGAGCGGGCAGCCCGGCAGGCCAGGGGGUGUGAGGUGCCCCUUAGAACACCUUGCACACUCAUCACAUGGCUUGUUCAACCCUCUGACCUGCCUCUGGCCGAGAACCUAUGUUAGUCCUGAAGAAUCAAAGAAAAACUCUUAACUGCUUGGGCACACGAUUCGCCACACUGCCAGCUACCAUUUUUAGUGAACGUCAACUGUGAAUUUUUCCCUCAUAGUUGCCACAGUCCUCACUUAAACUACUUAAUACUGAGAGCCACAACAUUUUCAUAAAACAGCACGAUAUACACCACACGGCUCCUAACCACCAGAAAGUUGCAAUUUAAACAGGAGUUUGGGACUUCCCUGGUGGCGCAGUGGUUGAGAGUCCGCCUGCCAAUGCAGGGGACACGGGUUCAUGCCCCGGUCCGGGAGGAUCCCACAUGCCGCGGAGCGGCUGCGCCCGUGAGCCAUGGCCGCUGAGCCUGUGCGUCCGGAGCCUGUGCUCCGCAACGGGAGAGGCCACAACAGUGAGAGGCCCGCGUACCGCAAAAAAACAAAAAAAAACCCCCAAAAAAACAGGAGUUUGAUGGUUGCUAUGUUUCCUCAACCCCCUGAUCUAAUUUUAAACCAAAUCUUUUAUUUCUAACAUUUCAAAGGUUCAUUUUCUUCACAUCUAGCAGCAAAAUGGCCUAGUGUUCUGACACUGCUGAAGAACCCUCAGACCUCUGCGCAAGCGUUCUCAUUAGUGAUCAAAACCAUUCCCUCGCUAGAACUGGUCCCGCCUCUGCACGCGGCUGAGUAGAUCAGGUCCGUCUUCUGCGGAGGUCCGACCUGCAGGACGACGCAAAGGCAGAGAUACGCCCAGCUCACCCCGCCUCCAGGUGUAGUCAGCAUUUCCAUUUCCAAUGAGAUGAGUUUACCUCUACAUCCAAAUGGAGGGAACUUGGGAUUUAAGUCAACAUCCACUGUAUUUGAAAAAUGCGGAAUCCAGAAGACAUGCCCAGUCACUGACCAGCAGUGCUUUCUACCCUCCAGUGAAUGGACAGCUCCGCACUUCUGUCCUGUUCCCGCUCCUCGUUCCUCAGCUGAGGACGGGGGAAGAGGCUUUGCACACUGGCUCCUCCAUCCUCCCAGCGCCCACGUGGGUCUCCGCCUGCCAGCAGGGCAGGCCCCCUGAACAGCCCAGGUCGCCUCUCCAGACCGGCUGGCCCUCCAGCCUCCCCACGCCCCCAAUUUCUGAUCUCCCCUCCGCGCUCUGCCUCUGGCCUGGCAUGCGCAUCCCGCCCACCCCGCGUGCUCCGUCUUCCGACCACCUCCUCGCUCUCCGCGAGGCCCCUGCGGAGCUGGGUGCUGACACGCGGGCCCAGGCGCCCACAGAUGCGCCCACUCUUUCCUGGGCUCCACCUUCUCCCUGAGCCUUGGUGACACCAUCGGGCGAGGCCUGGCCCUGCCAUUCUCUGACCACCUCAUCUCAGGGACCUCGUCCUCGUUCCCUCAGCCUCUCGCUGCCAAUCCCCCUUCAGACUCAAACUCACCUCCAGGACCAGAGGGAUUAACACAAAGCAUGACGGGAUGGAGUUCGGGAAGUGAGCACACAGAUGGAGCCCCAGUCCACAGGGCACAGCUGCUGCUCGGCCAUGAAGGACAGGCACCGUUCAGACUUCAGAUGCCAGCUCCGUUCUACGACCCCAUCCACUUCUCAAGACAGCCCGGAAACCCCGUCGUCACGGAGAAUCUCACGAUUUGGGCAAACAAAUCAAAUUUAAAUUAUCUGGGCCAAACUAAACAUGUUGAGCAGAACGCGGCCCGUCAGUGACUGGUGCGUGACCUCACUCUCCGCCUUUAUCACCAAAGCCACCGCACCCCCAAAACUGCUUUCCCUUCUGGGCUGCCAGGUACCCGUCGCCGCGGGGCUGCUCUCCGCGGCCCCCUCCCUGCCUGGGCCAGGCCCCACUGUGCUCACACUGGCUGACGGCCCAAGCUGGGGUCGUCAACUUACACUGGCUCCGAACCGGCUGCAGUAACACGUCUUCCCAGAAUCUCGUGUCGACUGUCGGAACCUUGUCCCCGAAGCCCCUGAGCCCCGUCUCUCCCCACACACCCUGCCCGCCUUUCUCGGGAUGCCACCCCUCCGGCGUCUCGAGGACCAGGCACGAUCAACUGGUCACUGCUGAAGCCGAGGGAGGGGAGGAAGAGUGCUCUUCAUGCACCUUUAACCAAUAAAGACUCUUAAAAACCUCCCCGCCAUCAGACGUGAUUGUGGUGCUGCGACUCGUAAUAAGAAGUAGCUACUUGCCCACCCCGACGAGAUCCCCCCAGUGGCUCCUUACAUGGAAGACAAGACCCUACGUGUCAACCUCCACCCACUCACCUAAGUUCAAGUCUCAAUGACUUUCCUCCCUUAGAACAGGGGUCCCCCACCCCCCGGUCAGGAACCAGGCCGCACAGCAGGAGGUGAGUGGCGGGUGGGCGGCGAAGCUUCACCUGCCGCUGCCCGCUGCCCGCCGUCGCCUGGGUCACUGCCUGCACCAUCCCUCCCCACCCCCGUCCGCCCGCGGAAAAACCGGUCCC